UACAGAGGGUGCAAGCGUUAUUCGGAAUUACUGGGCGUAAAGCGCGCGUAGGUGGUUUGUUAAGUUGGAUGUGAAAGCCCCGGGCUCAACCUGGGAACUGCAUCCAAAACUGGCAAGCUAGAGUACGGUAGAGGGUGGUGGAAUUUCCUGUGUAGCGGUGAAAUGCGUAGAUAUAGGAAGGAACACCAGUGGCGAAGGCGACCACCUGGACUGAUACUGACACUGAGGUGCGAAAGCGUGGGGAGCAAACAGG
rnacentral:rRNA from 1 species